rnacentral:rRNA from 1 species
UGGGGAAUAUUGGACAAUGGGGGCAACCCUGAUCCAGCCAUGCCGCGUGUGUGAAGAAGGCCUUCGGGUUGUAAAGCACUUUUGUCCGGAAAGAAAAGCUUCGGGUUAAUACCCCGAGGUUCUGACGGUACCGGAAGAAUAAGCACCGGCUAACUUCGUGCCAGCAGCCGCGGUAAUACGAAGGGUGCAAGCGUUACUCGGAAUUACUGGGCGUAAAGCGUGCGUAGGUGGUUUGUUAAGUCUGAUGUGAAAGCCCUGGGCUCAACCUGGGAAUUGCAUUGGAUACUGGCAGGCUAGAGUGCGGUAGAGGAUGGCGGAAUUCCCGGUGUAGCAGUGAAAUGCGUAGAGAUCGGGAGGAACAUCUGUGGCGAAGGCGGCCAUCUGGACCAGCACUGACACUGAGGCACGAAAGCGUGGGGAGCAAACAGGAUUAGAUACCCAAGUAGUCCCUGAGCGGGC